AUUGAACGCUGGCGGCAUGCCUUACACAUGCAAGUCGAACGGUAACAGGUCUUCGGAUGCUGACGAGUGGCGAACGGGUGAGUAAUACAUCGGAACGUGCCUAGUAGUGGGGGAUAACUACUCGAAAGAGUGGCUAAUACCGCAUGAGAUCUACGGAUGAAAGCAGGGGAUCGCAAGACCUUGUGCUACUAGAGCGGCCGAUGGCAGAUUAGGUAGUUGGUUGGAGAAAAGCUUACCAAGCCGACGAUCUGUAGCUGGUCUGAGAGGACGAUCAGCCACACUGGGACUGAGACACGGCCCAGACUCCUACGGGAGGCAGCAGUGGGGAAUUUUGGACAAUGGGCGAAAGCCUGAUCCAGCAAUGCCGCGUGCAGGAUGAAGGCCUUCGGGUUGUAAACUGCUUUUGUACGGAACGAAAAGCCCCGGGUUAAUACCCUGGGGUCAUGACGGUACCGUAAGAAUAAGCACCGGCUAACUACGUGCCAGCCGCCGCAGUAA
rnacentral:rRNA from 1 species